CUUUUUUUUUUUUUUUUUUUUUCGGUAAUGAUAAUAUUUGUAUAAACUAAUCUAUCAUAUCUACAGAGAGAACCUAAAGAGGCAGUUUAAGGGCCUAACAGGUAUACAGAUCUAAUUAGACUAAAGAAAUGAUCUGGCAUCUCUUUUGAAUUUUUUUCACUUUAGGUGAGUUUCGAACUCCCGAUCUAUAUCCGAGAGAGGGAAGUCUCUCUUUGGUGGCCAUUAAGCUUUGCGGGGUGGUUGUUUGGUACACUACUAUGGGCUUUUUCAUUGCCCACUUUUGGGUCUUUCAUUUACCCAAAGCUCAUUGCGUUACCAGUUUGGGCACUUUCACUCCCAUUAGCCAUUACCCACCAAGAUAGAAAAAUAAAACAAAAACAGACUGAAAAAUGGGGAAGGAAAAGCCAAAAAGGAUGACAGCCGCAGCAUCUUCCAUCUUGCCUCGAGUACUCCUACUUCCCUUUUCUGUUUCAUCCCAAUCUCUCUCUCUCCUCCCUUCUUUCUUUCUCUAUCUUACGCAAUUUCUACUCUUUUCUCUCUCACAAGUUAUGGUGGCGGGAGGUGGCUGUGAAAUGAGUUGGAGGUGGUGGGAGCCUGGGAGGUGGCAAUAAUAAUCUUUUUUUAUUCAAAAAGUCAUUAACAUUAUGGUACCAGAUUUUAUCAAAAGGAAUCUACACAAAUCUAUUAUCAAGUGGAAGAAAAGGAAAAUAAAUUUUUUCAUUCAAAAAGUCAAUGAAAUUAUGGUAACUAUCAAACACCAGAUUUUAUCAAAAGGAAUCUACACAAAUCCAUUAUUAUUGAAGGGUCUUUCAUAGUGAUUAUCAUUGCUAUUGCUUAGCAACAACCAAUCGGGUGGUAAUUUUUCUUCAAAAGAGAAAUAAUUACAUGGAGGCCCUGCGUACUCUACUACUUAAGAUCAGUGUAAAUCAGACAUACAAACACUAAGUCAAUCCAUCGAAAUCCCAAAAACGAAGAACAAAAGAUAGACGUAUCUUAAAUUAUGCUACCAAUCUACAACUGGUUUGACUCAGCUCAGUAACCUUUUCCGGCCUCUUCAACAAAUGCUUUUAGAU
rnacentral:lncRNA from 1 species